rnacentral:rRNA from 1 species
AUUGAACGCUGGCGGCAGGCCUAACACAUGCAAGUCGAACGGAUGAAGGGGGCUUGCUCCUGGAUUCAGCGGCGGACGGGUGAGUAAUGCCUAGGAAUCUGCCUGGUAGUGGGGGAUAACGUCCGGAAACGGGCGCUAAUACCGCAUACGUCCUGAGGGAGAAAGUGGGGGAUCUUCGGACCUCACGCUAUCAGAUGAGCCUAGGUCGGAUUAGCUAGUUGGUGGGGUAAAGGCCUACCAAGGCGACGAUCCAUAACUGGUCUGAGAGGAUGAUCAGUCACACUGGAACUGAGACACGGUCCAGACUCCUACGGGAGGCAGCAGUGGGGAAUAUUGGACAAUGGGCGAAAGCCUGAUCCAGCCAUGCCGCGUGUGUGAAGAAGGUCUUCGGAUUGUAAAGCACUUUAAGUUGGGAGGAAGGGCAGUAAGUUAAUACCUUGCUGUUUUGACGUUACCAACAGAAUAAGCACCGGCUAACUUCGUG